rnacentral:rRNA from 1 species
AACGAACGCUGGCGGCAUGCCUAACACAUGCAAGUCGAACGAGACCUUCGGGGCUAGUGGCGCACGGGUGCGUAACGCGUGGGAACCUGCCCUUGGGUUCGGAAUAACAGUUGGAAACGACUGCUAAUACCGGAUGAUGACGAAAGCCCAAAGAUUUAUCGCCCAGGGAUGGGCCCGCGUACGAUUAGCUAGUUGGUGGGGUAAAGGCUCACCAAGGCGACGAUCAUUAGCUGGUCUGAGAGGAUGAUCAGCCACACUGGGACUGAGACACGGCCCAGACUCCUACGGGAGGCAGCAGUAGGGAAUAUUGGACAAUGGGGGCAACCCUGAUCCAGCAAUGCCGCGUGAGUGAUGAAGGCCUUAGGGUUGUAAAGCUCUUUUACCCGGGAUGAUAAUGACAGUACCGGAAGAAUAAGCCCCGGCUAACUCCGUGCCAGCCGCCGCCGUAAGAC